AACGAACGCUGGCGGCAUGCCUAACACAUGCAAGUCGAACGCGGGGUCUCGGUUCGCUGGGGCCCUGAGUGGCGCACGGGUGAGUAGCGCGUGGGAACCUGCCCUGUUGUGGGGGAUAACCGAGGGAAACUUCGGCUAAUACCGCAUGCGCCCGGGGAAACCCGGGGAAAGAUUGAUUCGCAGCAGGAGGGGCCCGCGUCGGAUUAGCUAGUUGGUGGGGUAACGGCCUACCAAGGCACCGAUCCGUAGCUGGUCUGAGAGGAUGAUCAG
rnacentral:rRNA from 1 species